UACGUAGGUGGCAAGCGUUGUCCGGAAUUACUGGGUGUAAAGGGCGUGUAGGCGGGGAGACAAGUCAGAUGUGAAAUACCGUGGCUUAACUGCGGCGGUGCAUCUGAAACUGUUUCUCUUGAGUGUCGGAGAGGAAAGUGGAAUUCCCAGUGUAGCGGUGAAAUGCGUAGAGAUUGGGAGGAACACCAGUGGCGAAGGCGGCUUUCUGGACGAUAACUGACGCUGAGGCGCGAAAGCGUGGGUAGCAAACAGGAUUAGAUACCCGCGUA
rnacentral:rRNA from 1 species